AUGGUCCUCAGUGAAGCCCGGCUCCACUCUUCACUGAGGGUCGGCUCCAGUCCCCAGGGAGGCCAGGCUUCGGUCCACACAGAGCCUGGCUCACUUCUCACUGAGGUUCUGUUCUCCUCCUCCCUGAGGCCUGAAUUUACUUCCCUGAGGCCUGGCUCCUCUAGGGACCGAGAACCGGCUCCGCUCUCCCCUGAGGCUCCUAUCCGUUCUCACUGGGACCCACCUCCCCCAGCACUGAGGCCUGGGCCUCACAGAGGCCAGGCUCGCUUCUCCCCACCUUUCAACUCUGCUUCUCCCCGAGGCCUGACUGCUUCACCGAGUCCUGGCCCCGCUGCUUAGGGAGGUUUGGCUCCUGGGCCUGAGGCCCAAGUCACGCGUUAUGGAAGCUCAGCUCUGCUUCUCCCUGAGGCCUGACUUUGCCUCUCUUCGGCCUGGCUCCGCUCCAAAAUGAGGCCUGGCUCUGCUUCUCACCGAGGCCCAGUCUGGUCCUGAAGGAGGCCGACUCUGGUCCUAAGGCUCGGCUCUGGCCUUCACUGAGUCCUUGCUCUGCUCCUCGCUUAGGCCAAACUUUGCUUCUCUGAGGCCUGGCUUGCUUCCACUGAGGUUCCGCUCUACCCCUCUGAGUCCAGACUUUGCUACUCUGAGGCCCUGCUCUGCCCCGCUCCACACUGAGGCCUGGCUCACUUCUCACUGCGGUUCCGCUCUCCUCCUUGAGGCCUGACUCUGCUUCUCUGAGGCAAGUCUCCGCUCCUCACAGAGGCUUGGCUGUUCCUCCCUGAGGCCCUGCUCCACUCUUCGGUAUGGCCGGGCUCUGCUCCUCACUGAUUCCCAGCUCUGCUCCUCAUUCGGACCUGAUUAUGCUCAUCUCAGACCUGACUAUAACAGGAGUCUCCAUCAAUAUGGAACUUAAAACCACAACCUUCACAUACUUUAAAAUUGUUAUAUUAAAAAUAAAGAUAAUUUUUGGCAACAGUGUAUAGAAAUUGGAACUUUUAAAUGUUAGUUGUCAAAAUGUGAUAUGGUUCAAUCUACUUAUGCAAAACUUUGGCAUCUUAUCAAAAAUAUAAAAAUUCAGUUAUCAUCAGUUUCAAAAAGUCUGCUCUUACAUAUAUACCCAAAGAAUUUUAAAUAAAUGUUGAAAUAAAAGUUUAUACCAAUAUUCACAGCAGCACUGUUCU
rnacentral:lncRNA from 1 species